rnacentral:rRNA from 1 species
AUUGAACGCUGGCGGCAUGCCUUACACAUGCAAGUCGAACGGUAACGGGUUAAGCUGACGAGUGGCGAACGGGUGAGUAAUGUAUCGGAACGUGCCCAGUCGUGGGGGGAUUACGUAGCGAAAGCUACGCUAAUACCGCAUACGAUCUAUGGAUGAAAGCGGGGGAUCGCAAGACCUCGCGCGAUUGGAGCGGCCGAUAUCAGAUUAGGUAGUUGGUGGGGUAAAGGCCCACCAAGCCGACGAUCUGUAGCUGGUCUGAGAGGACGACCAGCCACACUGGGACUGAGACACGGCCCAGACUCCUACGGGAGGCAGCAGUGGGAAUUUUGGGACAAUGGGCGCAAGCCUGAUCCAGCAAUGCCGCGUGCAGGAUGAAGGCCUUCGGUUGUAAGCUCUUUACCCGGGUAGUGAUAAUGACAGUACC